rnacentral:tRNA from 1 species
GGGGCGUUCAUCUAUGGGUUAGGAAUUCCGCCUUUCAAGCGGGAAGAGCGAGUUCGAGUCUCGCACGCCCUACCA